rnacentral:rRNA from 1 species
UACGGAGGGUGCAAGCGUUAAUCGGAAUUACUGGGCGUAAAGCGCACGCAGGUGGCUGAGUCAGUCGAUUGUGAAAGCCCUGGGCUUAACCUGGGAAUUGCAGUCGAUACUACUCAGCUAGAGUAUGGGAGAGGGUAGUGGAAUUCCCGGUGUAGCGGUGAAAUGCGUAGAUAUCAGGAGGAACACCGGUGGCGAAGGCGGGUCUCUGGGCCGAUACUGACGCUGAGGAGCGAAAGCGUGGGGAGCGAACAGG